rnacentral:rRNA from 1 species
CAGUAGCCGCGGUAAUACGAAGGGUGCAAGCGUUACUCGGAAUUACUGGGCGUAAAGCGUGCGUAGGUGGUGGUUUAAGUCCGUUGUGAAAUCCCCGGGCUCAACCUGGGAAUGGCAAUGGAUACUGGCAAGCUAGAGUGUGUCAGAGGAUGGUGGAAUUCCCGGUGUAGCGGUGAAAUGCGUAGAGAUCGGGAGGAACAUCAGUGGCGAAGGCGGCCAUCUGGGACAACACUGACGCUGAGGCACGAAAGCGUGGGGAGCAAACAGGAUUAGAUACCCCGGUAGUCCCUGUCUCUUAUAC